UAUCUAGGCAUUUUGCCAAACUCUUUCUAGCACUCUACCUGGGUAGUAUCUUAAAUUACAGGAAUACAUGAGAAAACAGUAGAAUCCAGUCGCAGUUGUAGAUGCUACUUCACCCGGUCAGCUUCUACCCUCCGACCCGCCAAAGAUGUAUCCCUGGCUGGAACAGAAAACUUAUCGAGACAGACAUAGGCAUUUUUUUCUGCUCAGCGCACAAUUCUUCAAAGUAGCCACGCUUUGCCUUGAUGACAGCUUUGCAGACUCUUGGCAUUCUCUCAACCAGCUUCACCUGGAAUGCUUUUCCACAGUCUUGAAGAAGUUCCCACAUAUGCUGAGCACUUGUUGGCUGAUUUUCCUUCACUCCGUGGUCCAACUCAUCCCAAAGCAUCUCAAUUGGGUUGAGGUCGGGAGAUUGUGGAGGCCAGGACAUCUGAUGCAGCACUCCAUCACUCUUCUUCUUGGUCAAAUAGCCCUUACACAGCCUGGAGGUGUGUUGGGUCAUGGUCCUGUUGAAAAACAAAUGUUAGCCCAACUAUGCGCAAAUCAGAUGGGAUGGCAUAUAACUGCAAAAUGCAGUGAUACCCAUGCUGGUUAAGUAUGCCUUGAAUUCUAAAUAAAUCACAUACAGUGUCACCAACAAAGAACCCCACAGCAUCACACCUCCUCCUCCAUGCUUCACGAAGGGAACCACACAUGCGGAGAUCGUCUGUUCACCUACUCUGCGUCUCACAAAGACACGGCGGUUGGAACAAAAUCUCAAAUUUGGACUCAUCAGACCAAAGGACAGAUUUCUACCGGUCUAAUGUUUCUUGGCCCAAGCAAGUCUCUUCUUAUUAUUGGUGUCCUUUAGUAGUGGUUUCUUGGCAGCCAUUCAACCAUGAAGGCCUGAUUCACGCAGUUUUCUCUGAACAGUUGAUGUUGAGAUGUGUCUGUUACUGUUACUGUAACACUGUGAAGCAUUUAUUUGGGCUGCAAUUUCUGAGGCUGGUAAACUCUAAUGCAUUUAUCCUCUGCAGCAGAAAUAACUCUGGGUCUUCCUUUCCAGUGGCAGUCCUCAUGAGAGCUAGUUUCAUCAUAGCGCUUGGUGGUUUUUGACUGACCUUCAUGUCUUCAAGUGACGAUGGACUGCUUGCUUAUUUGAGCUGUUAAUGACAUAAUAUGGACUUGGUCUUUUACCAAAUAGGGUUAUCUUCUAUAUACCACCCCUACCUUGUCACAACACAACUGAUUGGCUCAAACACAUUAAUAAGAAGGAAAUAAAUUCCACAAAUUCAUUUGUAACAAGGUAAACCUGUUUUUUGGAAUGCAUUCCAGGUGACUACCUCAUGAAGCUGGUUGAGAGAAUGCCAAGCGUGUACAAAGCUGUAAUCAAGGCAAAGGGUGGCUAUUUGUAGAAUCUUACAUAUAAAUAUACUUUGAUUUGUUUAACACUUUUUUUCACUAUUAAAUGAUUCCAUAUGUAGUUUUGAUGUCUGCACUAUCCUUCUACAAUGUAGAAAAUAGUAAACAUAAAGAAAAACCCUUGAAUGAGUAGGCAUGUCCAAACUUUUGACUGGUGUAUACCGUUGAAGUCGGAAAUGUACAUACACUUUGGGUGGUGUCAUUAAAACUUGUUUUUCAACCACUCCACAAAUUUCUUGUUAACAAACUAUAGUUUUGUCAAGUCGGUUAGGACUACUUACAGACAGAUUAUUUCACUUAUAAGUCAAUGUAUCACAAUUCCAGUGGGUCAGAAGUUUACAUACACUAAGUUGACUGUGCCUUUGAACAGCUUGGAAACUCCAGAAAAUUAUGUCAUGACUUUAGAAGCUUCUGAUAGGCUAAUUGACAUAAUUUGAGUCAAUUGGAGGUGUACCUGUGGAUGUAUUUCAAGACCUACCUUCAAACUCAGUGCCUCUUUGCUUGACAUCAUGGGAAAAUCAAAAGAAAUUAGCCAGACCUCAGAAAAGGAAUUGUAGACCUCUACAAGUCUGGUUCAUCCUUGGGAGCAAUUUCAAAAUGACUGAAAGUACCACGUUCAUCUGUACAAAAAAUAGCAUGCAAGUAUAAUCACCAUGGGACCAUGCAGCCGUCAUACCGGUCAGGAAGGAGACAUGUUCUGUCUCCUAGAGAUGAAGGUACUUUGGUGCGAAAAGUGCAAAUCAAUCCCAGAACAACAGCAAAGGACCUUGUCAAGAUGCUGGAGGAAACAGGUACAAACGUUUCUAUAUCCAUAGUAAAACGAGUUCUAUAUCGACAUAACCUGAAAGGCCACUCAGCAAGGAAGAAGCCAUUGCUCCAAAACCGCCAUAAAAAAGCCAGACUUCAGUUUGCAACUGCAGAUGAUGACAAAGAUCGUACUUUUUGGAGAAAUGUCCUCUCGUCUGAUGAAAUGAAAAUAUAACUGCUUGGCCAUAAUGACCAUAGUUAUGUUUGGAGGAAAAAGGGGGAGGUUUGCAAGUCAAAGAACACCAUCCCAACAGUGAAGCAUGGGGGUAGAAGCAUCAUGUUGUGGGGGUGCUUUGCUGCAGGAGGGACUGGUGCACUUCACAAAAUAGAUGGCAUCACGAGGUAGGAAAAUUAUGUGGCUAUAUUGAAGCAACAUCUCAAGACAUCAAUUGGCUUGGCUGUGUGUGUAGGGUCGUUGUCCUGUUGGAAGACAAACCUUCGUCCCAGUCGGAGGUCCUGAGUGCUCUGGAGCAGGUUUUCAUCAAGGAUCUCUCUGUACUUUGCUCCAUUCAUCUUUGCCACAAUCCUGACUAGUCUCCCAGUCCCUGCAACUAAAAAACAUGAUGCUCCCACCAAAAUGAUUCACUGUAGGGAUGGUGCCAGGUUUCCUCCAUACAUGACCCUUGGCAUUCAGUCCAAAGAGUUUAAUCUUGGUUUCAUUAGACCAGAUAAUCUUGUUUCUCAUGGUCUGAGAGUCUUUAGUUGCCUUUUGGCAAUCUCCAAGCGGGCUGUCAUGUGCCUUUUACUAAGGAGUGGCUUCCGUCUUUCCACUCUACCAUGAAGGCCGGAUUGGUGGAGUGCUGCAGAGAUGGUUGUCCUUCUGGAAGGUUCUUCCAUCUCCACUCUACCGCUCUGUCAAACUUCUUCCAUUUACAAAUAAUUGAGGCCACUACGUUCUUGUUGACCUACAAUACCGGAGAUAUUUUUUGGUACCCUUCCCCAGGUUUGUGCCUUGACACAAUCCUGUCUCAAGGCUCUAAAGACAAUUCCUUCGACCUCAUAUGGCUUUGUUUUUGCUCUGACAUGCGCUAUCAACUGUGGGACCUUAUAUUGACAGUUGUGUGCCUUUCCAAAUCAUGUCCAAUCAAUUGAAUGUACCACAGGUGGACUCCACAUCAAGUUGUUGAAACAUCUCAAGGAUGAUCAAUGGAAACAGGAUGCACCUGAGCUCAAUUCUGAGUCUUAUAGCAAAGGGUCUGAAUACUUAUGUAAAUAAGGUAUUUUUGUUUAUUUAUUCAAAUACAUGUUCAAAUAUGUCUAAAAACCUGUUUUUGAUUUCUCAUUAUGGGGUAUUGUGUGUAAAAUGCUGAGGAUUUAAUUUAAAAAAAUCAAUUUUCGAGUAAGGUGGUAACCUAACAAAAUGUUGAAAAAGUCAAGGGGUCUGAAUACUUUCCGAAGGCACUUUAUAUCUUUUAUUUUUGUUUAUUUUCUAAGAAAUGUAGGUCUAACACAUUGCAAAAAGUUGCACUUACAAUGACUAUUGAAGAAGAGUGGAAUUCAGAGUUAUAGAAUGUUCUAGAGUUUUGAACACUUGAAGACAAACAGCAAACUAUUCAUUUUCCACAUGAUAUUUACAAGGAUGAGAGGCAUGUCAAAAAUGGAUUAACUUUAUUUUUUUUAAAUGUACUGAAAGCAUUUGUGUAAUAUUUGGACCAAGCCCUAAUGUCAGGCAUAUGAGAAAAAAAAGCCACUAGAAUUACCACAUUAGUUGUAGAAAAUAACUUGUUACAGAGACCAAAUAUAAAUCAAUAAAGAGUUGACUGUGGCAGACCAUA